AACGAACGCUGGCGGCGUGCCUAACACAUGCAAGUCGAACGAAUGUAGCAAUACAUUAGUGGCGCACGGGUGAGUAACACGUGGGAAUCUGCCUCAUAGUUCGGAAUAACACCGGGAAACUGGUGCUAAUACCGGAUACGCCCUUCGGGGGAAAGUUUUUCGCUAUGAGAUGAGCCCGCGUUGGAUUAGCUAGUUGGUGAGGUAAUGGCUCACCAAGGCGACGAUCCAUAGCUGAUCUUAGAGGAUGAUCAGCCACACUGGGACUGAGACACGGCCCAGACUCCUACGGGAGGCAGCAGUGAGGAAUAUUGGACAAUGGGGGAAACCCUGAUCCAGCAACGCCGCGUGGAUGAUGAAGGUCUUCGGAUUGUAGAGUCCUUUUGGCGGGGACGAUGAUGACGGUACCCGCAGAAUAAGCUCCGGCUAACUUCGUGCCAGCCGCCGCCGUAA
rnacentral:rRNA from 1 species